GGCCAAAACACAAGGGAAAAACAGAAUCACAAGAAAGAAAAGGAGAAACAGACAGGAGACUCACCAUUACCGGGCAUACCGGGCUGCCACCACAACAGUAGUGUGUUCUGAUCUCUUUCUCCUUGUUUUACCAUGAUGAUCCAGAUAGUCCACCCCCUGCAGAUAAUUCAGUCGCUGAUGCUAAUCCAUCCACUGUGCAUGGUCCACAUGGAUGUGCCUCGCCAGCUGACUGAGAUAUGCCACGUGUUACCAGCCGACCUGGAUAUGUGUCUCCUUGUGAAAUCCUACCACUUCCCAAAUGUCCCCCCAGAACACAAACCAAACGAAAGCGUAUGAAGACAGUCGUCCUAACUGAUACUCCUGAGAAGCAGACAAUUGAAAAGGAUUAUAAAGAAAGACAAAAAAAUUGGCAGGGAAGAAGCUAAAUAGCAAAGAAAAGGGACAACCGAAAAAGAAAGCAACCAAAAAGAAAAUCAUAGUUAGCAGCUCUGAGGAGAGUGAUGUCCCUGUCCCAAUUGAUAAUGUGUGAUCCAGGAAACACAGAUCUGUCCGUGGGUGACUUUGUCAUAGUUAACUUUGCAACCAAACACAGAAGCAGCCGCUACUUUGGCAUGGUUGAGAAAGUUGAGGAUAAUGAAAUACUGCACAUUUUCUCAGAAGAAUCCAGGGAAACACAAAAGAGUGGGAGAGACCCACGUUUGCUAUAAAGGUAAAUGAUGUGGCAUAUGUUCCUAAAAGUGAUGUGGUGAAAAAGCUGCCUCAACCUAAAAGGCCUGGAGGAACCACACGGAGAGAGCAACUCUUCAUCUUUCCCUGUAACCGUCAGGGCUGGAAUGGAGAGUAGGCCUAGUUGUAGAGUAUGACAGUAGGCUGAUGAUCUAAUCCAGGUUGGUCUAGUCCUGUGUCCCAAGCUGUUCUAGCUGGUUCUGAUUGUCCUUAGUUCUGACCCCUAGACACUAGCUGGCUCUAAGGGUCCUGUGUUCUGACCCCCAGACCCCCUGUUUUCUUGUACUUUGUUUUCCCUAUGUCUAAUCUAACUGGUUCUGUCAUUUGAAUGUUAAUUAAAACAUUUUGAAUUAUAUUAUGUUGUAUUUGAUUUUGUUCAGUAUAGAAAAAAAAAUUGCUUAAUUGACCAAUCCUCAUUCUGUUACUAGUCUGACAUUAGUUCUGGAAUGUGUGGUCGUCAAGCUAGCUGUCAGGAUUCUAAAUGUUACAAUAUGUGUUGUUAUGGUAGUUUUAGAGUGGAAAAAGUAAGUGGAUCAGUUUACCCUCAGCAGGUUCACUUUAUCCCCUUGAUUUCUCUGGUCUGUCUCAGUUUUCCCCUAAGCUGAUUCAAAGUUUGUCAAUCCUUUAUGCAAUUAUAGUUUUUUUGUAAACUUUAUUGUUCUCCACACUGUUGGAAUAGACUAUGGAUCGGUCUCAAUAUGUUUUGUAUUUUACUUCAUCAAAAUGUAAUUAGUCUGUAUACAGCCUCUAUUGAUUCAAUGAUGACUUUUUACUGUAUGUUGUAUGAGAGCACCCUGGAUAACCCUGCUCUUAAAAAAAACAACUAGGCAUACAGAUUGAAAUAAAAAAUCACAUGCAGCUGCUACUGUGCCCCCAACUUGUCAGUUGAAUAAUUUGACAAAUAAAUCUUUGCUUUAAA